rnacentral:tRNA from 1 species
GACCAGGUCGUCCAAUCGGCAGGACGCCGCGCGACGCGCGGAGAUGCGAGUUCGAAUCUCGCCUGGGUCU